rnacentral:rRNA from 1 species
GACGAACGCUGGCGGCGUGCUUAACACAUGCAAGUCGAACGGGCCUUGUCCCCUUUUUUUUUGGGGGUGGGGUUAGUGGCGAACGGGUGAGUAACACGUGAGUAACCUGCCCCUCACUUCUGGAUAACCGCUUGAAAGGGUGGCUAAUACGGGGUGUUCUGGCCUGCUCGCAUGGGUGGGUUUGGAAAGAUUCGACCGGUUUUGGUUGUUUUGGUGGGGGAUGGGCUCGCGGCCUAUCAGCUUGUUGGUGGGGUGAUGGCCUGCCAAGGCUUUGACGGGUGGGCGGGCUGGGAGGGUGGGCCGUCACCCGGGGACUGAGGCACGGGCCAGACUCCUAAGGGAGGCAGCAGUGGGGAAUAUUGCACAAUGGGCGCAAGGCUGAUGCAGCGACGCCGCGGGAGGGAUGGAGGCCUUCGGGUUGUGAACCUCUUUCGCCAGUGAAGAAGGUCCUGCUCUUUGUGGUGGGGUUGACGGUAGCUGGGUUAAUGAAGCGCCGGCUAACUACGUG